GGGUGGGUGGUAAGUCUUCCCCGAGGCUGUGUGAGCCCUCCAAGCUCACAGAAGACCCCCCUGCGCCCCGACACUCUGUCUCUGCACGCUAACCACGGCCAGGUGUUGGCAUGUGAUUUCCGAGCACCUUCUUUCCUUCCGUCCCUCCUUCCCAAAUCCCCUCAACACUGGCCGUGUGCCAAGCACCGCCAGCCAGACGCGAGCUCCCGUCCUCACGGGGCCUCUGUGCAGGCUGGUGGAGACAGAAAAGAAACAGUAGGAAAAGAAUCUGGCCGUGAAAAGGGGGACGUUCCAGAAACUGGCAGGGGGAGGCUCCUAUACCUGAGUGGUCGGGAGAGCCUCUCUGAGGAGGUGGCAUCUAACUUGAGACUUCAUCAAAAGGGCCAGCCCCGUGAAGAACUUUCCAGGCCCAGGAAGCAACAGAUGCAAAGGCCCUGAGAGACAGAGUGCACAAACAGGGCAGAGGGAGAAGGAGAGAGAAACCCAAGCAGGCUCCACACUCAGUGCAGAGCCCAACUCAGGGUUCCAUCCCACGACCCUGGGGUCAUGACCUGAGCUGAAAUCAAGAGUCAGACACUCAACCGACUGAGCCGCCUCUUAACCAUUUCUCAAGUGGACAGUUCGGUGGCACUAAGUCCAUUCACCUUGCUGUGCAAGCACCACUGUCUGUCUCCAGAACUUUCCUAUCGUCCCAAAUUAAAUCUCUGUCCUUAUCAAA